rnacentral:rRNA from 1 species
GACGAACGCUGGCGGCGUGCUUAACACAUGCAAGUCGAGCGGUAAGGCCCUUUCGGGGGUACACGAGCGGCGAACGGGUGAGUAACACGUGGGUGACCUGCCCUCAGCUCUGGGAUAAGCCUGGGAAACCGGGUCUAAUACCGGAUAUGACUCCAUGACGCAUGUUGUGGGGUGGAAAGCCUUGUGCGGCUGAGGAUGGGCCCGCGGCCUAUCAGCUUGUUGGUGGGGNGAUGGCCUACCAAGGCGACGACGGGUAGCCGGCCUGAGAGGGCGACCGGCCACACUGGGACUGAGACACGGCCCAGACUCCUACGGGAGGCAGCAGUGGGGAAUCUUGCGCAAUGGGCGAAAGCCUGACGCAGCGACGCCGCGUGAGGGAUGACGGCCUGGUUGUAAC